UACGUAGGGUGCGAGCGUUGUCCGGAAUUACUGGGCGUAAAGAGCUCGUAGGUGGUUUGUCGCGUUGUUCGUGAAAACCGGGGGCUUAACCCUCGGCGUGCGGGCGAUACGGGCAGACUUGAGUACUGCAGGGGAGACUGGAAUUCCUGGUGUAGCGGUGGAAUGCGCAGAUAUCAGGAGGAACACCAAUAGCGAAGGCAGCUCGCUGGGACGUUACUGACACUGAGGCGCGAAAGCGUGGGGAGCAAACGGG
rnacentral:rRNA from 1 species